AUUGAACGCUGGCGGCAUGCCUUACACACGCAAGUCGAACGGUAGAGGGGCAACCCUCGAGAGUGGCGAACGGGUGAGUAAUACAUCGGAACGUGCCCAGUCGUGGGGGAUAACGUAGCGAAAGCUACGCUAAUACCGCAUACGACCCGAGGGUGAAGGCGGGGGACCUGCAAGGGCCUCGCGCGAUUGGAGCGGCCGAUGGCAGAUUAGGUAGUUGGUGGGGUAAAGGCCCACCAAGCCUGCGAUCUGUAGCUGGUCUGAGAGGACGACCAGCCACACUGGGACUGAGGCACGGCCCAGACUCCUACGGGAGGCAGCAGUGGGGAAUUUUGGACAAUGGGCGAAAGCCUGAUCCAGCCAUACCGCGUGCGGGAAGAAGGCCUUCGGGUUGUAAACCGCUUUUGUCAGGGAAGAAAUCUUCCGGGUUAAUACCUCGGGGGGAUGACGGUACCUGAAGAAUAAGCACCGGCUAACUACGUGCCAGCAGCCGCGGUAAGAC
rnacentral:rRNA from 1 species